rnacentral:lncRNA from 1 species
GAUCUGAAUACUGAAGGGUUGGUAGGGGACCAGAGAAUAGAGGAAGCAUUGUAGGUUCUAGAGUGGAGAAGGGACCAUCCAAAAUGGAGUUUGAAAGAGAAUUCUGGCCUUUGUGUUUAGAGUCUGGAAUUGUCAAGAGUCUGAAAGCACAGAAUAAGACUGCAGCUAGAGCAAUUUAGGCGCCAUAGUUUGUCAAAACAGGAGACGGGAUCUCACUGUGUUGCCCAGGCUGGUCUCGAACUGCUGGACUCAAGUCAUCCUCCCAUCUUGGCCUCCCAAAGUGCUGGAAUUACAGGGGACAACCUUCAAUGCACUGGUACUUUGUACCCUGACCUCUACUGUGAUGAACACUCAACUUGGGCAAGGAAGUGAAAUUCUCCAAAGGAAGGAGGAGGGUGCUCUGAAUAGAUGGACCCUGAUUCUACUUACAAAACUGUGGGAAGAAACCGGAGCUUCCUCCCUCUCUGAGACAACGGUGCCACUGAGACUGCGUGAGAUGCGACGUAAAUUCUCUGCACUGUACUGCUCAUCCUCCCCACACUCCCUGCUGAGGCCUCGGCAAGGUGUAGCCUUCAAACACACAGACACAUACAGGCAGACACAUAAUACCAGACUUAUGGUUUUCCCACAGACAGUAUCCUCAGGGUAUGGGAAAGAGUAGGGGAAGACUCAGUAGUAAUAGACACCUGAAUUAGAUGUAUUGGUAAGAUAGUGGCCAUGUAACAAUCUCCUCUAAUUCAAAAGAAGCCCAAUCAUAGACCU